rnacentral:rRNA from 1 species
CUGAAUGUCCUAGGGGGUAUUGCACCUACCGAAGACUAUCAAACUCCGAAUGCCGUCAUCUUAUACUUGGGAGUCAGACUGUGGGUGAUAAGAUUCAUAGUCGAAAGGGCAACAGCCCAGAUCGUCAGCUAAGGUCCCUAAAUGUAAGUUAAGUGGUAAAGGAUGUGGGAUUGCACAGACAACCAGGAUGUUGGCUUAGAAGCAGCCACUCAUUCAAAGAGUGCGUAAUAGCUCACUGGUCGAGUGAUCCUGCGCCGAAGAUUUCCGGGGCUAAAACUUACUACCGAAGCUACGGCAUCAGUAAUGAUGGGUAGGGGAGCUUCCCAUACGGGUUGAAGCAUGACCGUAAGGACAUGUGGACAGUAUGGGAGUGAGAAUGUUGGCAUGAGUAGCGAGAUGUGGGUGAGAAUCCCACAGGCCGUAAACCCAAGGUUUCCAGGGGAAGGUUCGUCCGCCCUGGGUUAGUCGGGACCUAAGCUGAGGCCGAAAGGCGUAGGUGAUGGACAACAGGUUGAUAUUCCUGUACUACCGAUAACCGUUUGAGAGAAGGGAUGACACAGUAGGAUAAGCUAAGCACACUGUUGGUUAUGUGUGCCCAAGCAUUGAGGCAGUCAAAGUAGGCAAAUCCGCUUUGAUAAUGCUGGGAUGUGAUGGGGAGCGAAAUUUAGUAGCGAAGUAGCUGAUUUCACACUGUCAAGAAAAGUCUCUAUCGAGGUUAAAGGUACCCGUACCGCAAACCGACACAGGUGGGUGAGGAGAGUAUCCUAAGGCCAGCGAGAGAACUGUUGUUAAGGAACUCGGCAAAAUGACCCCGUAACUUAGGGAUAAGGGGUGCCACCAUCAGGUGGCCGCAGAGAAUAGGCCCAAGCGACUGUUUACCAAAAACAUAGGUUUCUGCUAAGUCGCAAGACGAUGUAUAGGAGCUGACGCCUGCCCGGUGCUGGAAGGUUAAGGGGAUCUGUUAGAGCAAUCGAAGCAGUGAACUUAAGCCCCAGUAAACGGCGGCCGUAACUAUAACGGUCCUAAGGUAGCGAAAUUCCUUGUCGGGUAAGUUCCGACCCGCACGAAAGGCGUAACGAUUUGGGCACUGUCUCAACAACAGACUCGGUGAAAUUGUAAUUCCGGUGAAGAUGCC